UAGGGAAUCUUCGGCAAUGGACGGAAGUCUGACCGAGCAACGCCGCGUGAGUGAAGAAGGUUUUCGGAUCGUAAAGCUCUGUUGUAAGAGAAGAACGAGUGUGAGAGUGGAAAGUUCACACUGUGACGGUAUCUUACCAGAAAGGGACGGCUAACUACGUGCCAGCAGCCGCGGUAAUACGUAGGUCCCGAGCGUUGUCCGGAUUUAUUGGGCGUAAAGCGAGCGCAGGCGGUUAGAUAAGUCUGAAGUUAAAGGCUGUGGCUUAACCAUAGUACGCUUUGGAAACUGUUUAACUUGAGUGCAAGAGGGGAGAGUGGAAUUCCAUGUGUAGCGGUGAAAUGCGUAGAUAUAUGGAGGAACACCGGUGGUGAAAGCGGCUCUCUGGCUUGUAACUGACGCUGAGGCUCGAAAGCGUGGGGAGCAAACAGGAUUAGAUACCCUGGUAGUCCACGCCGUAAACGAUGAGUGCUAGGUGUUAGACCCUUUCCGGGGUUUAGUGCCGUAGCUAACGCAUUAAGCACUCCGCCUGGGGAGUACGACCGCAAGGUUG
rnacentral:rRNA from 1 species